ensembl:lncRNA
AUGAGCUCAGCCUUCAGCGUCUCAAUACUCACAUACUCGCACACAGCAGAUAGACUCUUUUGGUUCUCAGACUAUAAACGACCAUGUGCUGCGGGUGACAGAGAGGUGAACUGCUCAUUUGGGCUGGAACACGUGCAGCCUCCCUCUUCUUCAGCUACUCACGCGCUGUUCCUCAAAGAUGCCCUGAAAGACACCCGUCUCCCACGCUCGGUUCAGCCACCACACCGCGAUUUUCCCUCGCUGUCGUCUCCACCGAGCGAGCGCGCGUGGAGGGAGGGCUUGCCAACCGGGUGUCAUGGAAACUGAGCCGUGUGUAUUACGUCAUUAGUCUGAGUUGCGAGUCUUCUCUUUUCUUUGCCGCUCGCAAAUAAGGAGCAUCACGCACAUGCCUCACAACAGCAGGUUCUACAGCUCAAAACUUAACCGGAGAACUUGAUUAUGUUUCUUAAAUUUCAUUCACAUGUAAAAGAUAUGACGUGUACAUUUGUUUUUGUCCCUCCCCUCCCCUCCUCUUUCCUCCUCUGACUGAAGUUGAGUAACGCUACAGGUGCUGUUGUGUCUGUCUAUCUUCUUUCUGCUGUUCUCUCUUUACUCUUCUGCUUUAAUUUAUUGUGCUGUUUUCCUAAGGCUUCUGUUGCCACUGUUGCUGACAACAUCAUUUCCUUUUUGGUAAUAUUUAUCCUUCUAAUUUUUGUUAAGUUUAGUCACAGCUAAUGUAACAAAACACACUGUGAUGAUUCCAGUAUUAAUAAAAGUUGUACUUAAACUGUGUGUGAGGAGAAGAUAUUCAUUAUAACCUAUUUAUUAUUCGAUAUGUAUUAUUUAUUAUGCUAGGUUUUAUGAGGGGAAGUCAUUAAGAUAAAAAAUUUAAAAUAUGCCAAAAAGUCGAAAUUAUAAGAUCUAAAGUCAUGACAUAAAAUUCUAUUUCUAUGACAUAUUUCUUAGCCAUUAUGCAUAAACUUAAAGGUUUAAACGUUAUAUAUAGCCUACUUCAUGCACACAAAAAUACAAAACAGAAAAGGGUGACGUUCAGCUGAAAGUGCAAGAGGUUUGAGACGGCAAGGAAAGAUCAAAUCUGAUAAACAAUCGCAUUUAGAGUGUGCGCAUUUUAUUUUAGAUUCUAGGGGGCGCCAAAGUAUUUGUGACUAAAUCUGUGACUGCAAUUCAACAUCCAGAUAGAGAAAAGUUUGUUCUAAUUAUUUCUUCAAGCUGUUUAGCAUCUAAAAGUGAAACACAAAUAAAUCUCGUCUUUCACACCGAAAAUAAGUAACUUGUUAAACCCUGUAAUUAAAAUCACAAGUCAGUCUCUAAGCACCAAUUUUGCACUCAUCAGCUUUAUAACAAUGUUCAACAUUGGAGAGAAAUACAGAUAUUAGCAAUUCCGCCUCCAGCUUUGUGUUAUUUGCUGAGAAAGCCCCUGGAGGUGUAUAAGACAGUCCCAGCUGCACAUUGGACUGCUCAGAGCGCAAAUGUGUAUCUUCAAUGAUAGUCAAGUCGCUUCAUCUAUAUAAAACACUUAUACAACAUAAUUAGAACGUCUCAUGUGCUCAUCAUCUCUCUGGUGUGUUCUUAAACAACACGAAUGCAACUUUAAUUAAAAAUAAGUAGGCCAUGAUUGAUUUAAGAAAUCUUAACAAUGAUAUUUAAUGGGACAAUAAAGGGAUUAGAAAGUGUAAAAGGAGAAAAGAGUGUUAUGUGCUCAUUCAGUUGUACCAUCCCACUAAUGGCAUAUUCACAGAACCAUACCCACGCUGCCUGCCGGAACCCUGAAGGUGAGUGAACAUGAUCUUGGUUUCUCAUUUGAGUAAACUGUUCCCUGUGUUAGAGGAACUACUUUGAACAUGUCUAGCAAUACGCAAAUCAUAAUUUGAAGUAUCAACUACAAUCCAUCCGUCCACCAAAGCACUUGUCCUAUGUAGGGUUCCAGCUUACAAAACACUUUUCUAACAUUUUUUUUUCUAAUUUUUACCACUUAGUUAUAAAAAUGUUAGUAUUUCUGAAUGUUCUCUGAACAAAAAAACGUUUUUGUUUUUUUUUAAUGUUUUAAAAAACAUCUAAGCAUUGUCAAACUAGGUGGUCACCCAAGUCAAGUCACCGUUAUUUAUAUAGCGCUUUAAACAGUACAGAUUGUCAAAGCAACUUUACAGUAUUAAAUAGGAAAAUAGUGUGUCAAUAAUGCAAAAUGACAAUAGUAAACAUUAAAUUUUCAGUUAAAGGCAGUUCAUCAUUGAAUUCAGUGAUGUCAUUUCCAGCUUUGUUCAGUUUAAAUAGUAUCUGUGCAAUAAAGUCAACAAUAUCGCUGGAUAUUAAGUGUCCCCAACUAAGCAAGCCAGAGGCAACAGCGGCUAGGAAACAAAACUCCCAUCAGUGACAGAAUGCUGAAAAAACCUUGGCCGAUACCUAGUUGGGGGGGCAGUUCUCCUCUAGCCAGACGAAACCAGCAGUUCAAUUCCAGGCUGCAGCAAAGUCAGAUUGUGCAGAGGACUCAUCUGGUUCCUGUGGUCUUGUCCCAGUGGCAGUCUAGGAGACAAGGUCUUCACUAGGGAUCUGUCUCUGGGGCUCCUCUAGUUGUCCUGGUCUCCGCUGACAUUCAGGGCUGUAGAGGUCAUCUCAAGGUGCUUAUCCAACAUCUGGGCUGGAUACGUACUGGAUCCGGGUUACUGCAGUGACCAUCUGAUCUGGUUUCGGACUGGAUCUGGUGGCUACGGUGACCUCGGAAUAAGAAUGAAAGAGGCUAAUAUUAGUGUAGAUGCCAUUCUUCCUACGUUGUAACGAGUACAUCGGAUGUUAUGGGAAGUGUUCCCGGUUCCGGCUGACUUAAUUAAUGCAGCAUAACAAUCCUUUAACAGAUUUGAAUUCUAGAAAUGUGAUAGUGUGUUAUGUGUAUGCCAGGUUAAAGAAAUGGGUCUUUAAUCUAGAUUUAAACUGACAGAGUGUAUCUGCCUCCCAAACAUUAGGUAGAUUGUUCCAGAGUUUGGGCGCUAAAUAGGAAAAGGAUCUGCCACCUGCAGUUGAUUUUGAUAUUCUAGGCAGGGGGGUAGCCAUCUUUUCAGAAGUGAGGGGGACAGAAAUUAUAUAUAUAUAUAUAUAUAUAUAUAUAUAUAUAUAUAGUAUACGACUUAUAUAUAAGUCGUAUUCAGACUUAUAAGUAAAGAAGUAAAUCUGAAUAUAUAGUUAUAAAUCUGAAUAUAUAGAAGCAAAUCUGAAUAUGUAGUUAUAAAUCUGAAUAUAUACAUACAACUCUGAAUAUAUAGAAGUAAACCUGAAUAUAUAGAUGUAAAUCUAAAUAUAUAGUUAUAAUUUGGAAUAUAUAAAUAUAAAUCUGAAUAUAUAGUUAUAAAUCUGAGUAUAUAGAAGUGCAACUGAAUAUAUAGUUAUAAGUCUGAAUAUAUAGAAGUGAAUCUGAAUAUAUAAUUAUAAGCCUGAAUAUAUAUAUAUUUAUAGCAAACCUGGUGAUGUGGAUCACAUGAGAGGGGCCCUUGCACACUUGUCCCCCUCACCUCAGAUAACUGAGAGCUUUUGAAAGGUACGCGUCCACCAACCAUGACAAGAGGAGCCACUAAUCUGCCCCUCACAGCCCAGACUGCUCUUAUUGCCCAUAAUAAAUUUAUAUCUAUCGCCUUCCACCCUUCUUCCACAUGUCCGGAUGUGUUCAAUAAAUUGUGAAAUGAAAUUCGUGUCCACUCUGUGCCUUAUUAUCCCACCACUUAUCAAGGAAACACAGAGAGCUGGAACAGGACUCAAGGGGGAUUUUUCAUGCCUCUGUUCCACCUACACAAUCCAGAAUGGUUAGGAAGGAAAGGAGAGGAAGAAUGUGAUUCAGAAAUUAUUGGCUUUACUCAAAAUAUACUAAAUCUAGGUAUUUAAUGCCACAUAUUUUAUAUUUUCCUCACACACACACACACACACACACACACACACGUUUGUUUUUGUGAAAAGUGGGGACAUCCCAUAGGCGUAAUGGUUUUUAUACUGUACGAACUGUAUAUUCUAUCGCCCUACACCUAACCCUACCCCUUACAGGAAACUUUGUGCAUUUUUACUUUCUCAAAAAAACUAAUACUGUGUGGUUUAUAAGCGUUUUGAAAAAUGGGGACAUGGGUUAUGUCCUCAUAAGUCACCCUCUCCUUGUAAUACCUGUGUCAUACCCAUGUCAUUAUACAAAGUUGUGUCCUGAUAUGUCACAAAAACAAAACACACACACACACACACACACACACACACACACACACACACACACACACACACAUAUAUAUUCUCUCUCUUUAUUAAUAGUUGUUUCAUUGUUGUGGUAUUUUUCUAUCAAAAUUCCUUUUAUAGUGCAAAUUUCAGUUCCCUUUCAGUCGGUCACUCUUGACGCCACGUCGGUGAACGGCGAAAAUGGGAUAUCGCUUCGAUAGACCAAUCUACUUUGAGUGUAAACUAAACGAGCCAAUGCACAUUGGCAUGCAAUUAUUGCAUCCAGCUGCCGCUGAUCACAGCGUGAGUAUAAUAAGGCAGCAGGUGCAAUGCAUACCAGCUUUUCGCUUCGGAGCCGAGAGUUAGUAUCGUUCUGCUCAACUGUGUCUGCUGUGACCUACGAGUUCAGCACGCUCUCGGAAGCUUCGUGUGUUGGCGAGAUGGCGCUUCAGCGGUGGUCGUUCCAGCGUUGAGUGGAUUGCACACUUCAGGCUGCACUACCCCCUGUCGUGUUGCAAGCGGCCAAUUCCCCUGUGCGCCUCAGCACUAAAAGAGCAUUUCCUAAAGAGCAAAUUUCUCUAAAAGAGCUUCAUGGGUGCGUCUUUGUAAAGAC